UAGAAGGCUGGGAGCUGCCGCCCCAGGUGCCGCCCAUUUCCACCAUCUCCCCCCACCCACCCGGGGUCCGCACGAUUUAUGGCCUUUGACAGGUGGCCUCGAGCUUAGCAAGGGUGAGCCAUCGAUGCAGUUGCACUCAGGGUCUCGUAGGGCUUGGUUCGAAGCUCUGCUGUCACAUUCCUGAAGUUUGUAAGUAAGUGCGUGUGUCUGAGGAGGCCCUGGGCUUGAGAGGCAAGUUCUACGUUCUGCCACUGAACCCUGUUUUCUUUCUUUUUCGUUUUUUCUGCCCGUGUCCUCCCCACCCUACCUUAGCAUCGUCUCCCUAAGUAGCCCCAGGAUGAUCUAAAGUUCGCAUUUCUUCUUGGCGCCUCCCCCAUGCGCCAUCACACCGGGUUAAAUUCCGAAUUUUAUAACAUGACACUACAUGCUUAUUUCGUACUGUAGCCCCUGUGUAGCUGGUACUGCCCUAGGAGACCGUAUACAUACUGAUAGCCUAAUGAUUGAAGGAGAAAUUCGGGAAAGGGAUCGCGUAUCCAGGAGGUAGAGCCUGUCUGCCAGGCAGUGGGGACCUCAAGAUCUGGAAUGUGGGUGGAUGCCCAGUGUGUACAGGAGGCUCCAGGAGGGAGUCAGAACACUGGAAGACAGGAACAGAAGGAUCAGAAAUUCAAGUCCAGCUUUGGAUAGAUGGCGCCAAGGCUAGCCUGGGCUACAUGAGAUCCUGUGUAAACUGCCCUCCCCCCCAAAAAAAUAAAUGAAAUAAAACGAGUCAGCAGCAGUGAGUGGGUGCUUGACCUCUGCUCAGCACCGUACCACUCACAACAGCUGUGUCUGAGAG
rnacentral:lncRNA from 1 species